rnacentral:lncRNA from 1 species
GGUAAAAUACGGAGGCAAGUGAGUAAUGGAUUACGUGUCUAAUUCGUGUACUUUUCGUAAAAUUUUUGAUUCAAAGCAGAGCUUCUGGCCUUUCUGUGGCAGGAGAACGGAAAUGCACACGCGUCCAGUCGUUGUUGUGUUGCAAGGACACGAGCGUGCAUUUUUUCGGCUGCCGGUUUUGUUUUACCAGAAUAAUUGGUUGCUUGGACGCGUUAGGCUAACGGCUACACAGUCGGCAAUUACAAACGGUUAAUGAAAGCUUCGUUUCAAUGAUUGCAACGCUGAUUUCGUCUUGAUAGAAAAAGCUGAAGUUUUAAAGGGAAAUUCAGAAAAAAACAAUGAAGUCACAGAACUCACUCGAUAUACCGUGUUUUGUGAGCUGAGUGGGUUGUGUUGCGCGUUUCAGUCUGUCGUUAACUAGCGUUAGUAUUGUGUGUGUGGCGCAGCCGACAACGAGUGUCGUGAGUCGUUGAAACGGCUUUUCGUUGCUUACUCAGUAGCACUCAAAUAUCCUGCCAGUUAUUUAAGCUGUGUAAUGUGGUUUUCAUUAGGUACUAUUUGACGUGAAAUUUUGUCAGAAUAAUGAAAACGGUAGUCAAAUGGUGUCAAUUACGAUUGCUGGCAUAUUUGUCACGGUCAUAUAAAAUGAUAACCAAAUAAAAACACUCAAACUUCAAUUUGUGGCAACAUUAGAGAUUUAACUUUGAUUUGCCGCGAUGUUGGCAAUUUUGUUUAUUGCCGUUCGUAUGGCAGCUAAAAAGGAUAACGUAUUUUCAAAAAGUUUUUUGACGAUUUCGAGUUUCAGCAUCUAGUUCUAGAAGUUGACACCAGGGUAGGAAAAUGGAACUUCAUUUCUACUGAAUAUAGAGACAGAACCCUUCGAGAAGCUCAAUAACAUGAGGUGGCUGAAAUAUUAAAGAUGCCCCUAUCGGAGGUGGCAGCCAAAUGUAACAACUUUUGCUGCUCUUUACGCCCUUUAAUCGUAUAAGUUACACAAAAAGUGAACAAGGUGCUGAAAAAAUUAUAUCAUUGAAGAUUCUAGAGCCGACUUUGAGAGUUCGCUUCAUUCCACUUCCAAUCUAACAAAAGACAGUCCAUCGGCCUCAAGCUCUCCAACAACAUUGUUGGAGUCGGAAAUUAUAUCUGGGAUAUACUAUCAACGUCAUCCACAUCAUAUGGUAAUUAAGAAAAACGUCAAGUGCAAAAAGACGAUGAUAAGUAUACUCAAGUAGUAGUGAGUAACUAAAACUGAUGGUUGGGAUGAGUUAGGAAACUUUGUAUCGUCAAAUGGCCGAGAGUGGGCCCAAGAAUUUUCAUAAUUAGCAAAAGAUUUCAAGCGGGUCAUAUGUGAAUUGAUAUUCAACUGCUUAAAGAAAUUACUGAAAUAAGAGCAGUUGCACAAUUGUAUGUGUUAAUAAAACCUAAUUUUGCUGGUUUACUUUAUAGCUCCAUCAUACCGUUCAAAUUCGCAAAAUUUUUUUUCUAUGCUAGUCAAAUGAAAUGUACCAUAUCUUUUUUAUAAUUUUUUCAACGUGAGAAAGCAAAUUUUUAAAAUACUAUAUUCAUUGAUAAAUUGAAU